AUGUCUUCCUCAAGCUACCGCGCCACCUCGCGGAUGCAGAGCCGGGCGCGAGUGAACAUGCAUGUCUUCGUCUGUCCGCGGUGCCGGGCGAGCGUUGAUCGGAGGGUUUCUCAGACAUCGAGGAAUCAGAAUCGUUCGUUCUACGUGUGUAGCGAGAAUGGGGUGACAUGCUUCUUUCUUUGGGUCGAUGCUCUGGCCAAGACUCUGAUGAAUGAACUGCAAAAAGAACAUGAAGAAUGGUUGCGCAUGCUGCCACGAACGGCAGUGGCCGCACCACGAGCUCCGGAAGAAGAGAUGAAGGGCGAAGCACACAUUAGAGAGCUAGCUGUUGAGCUUAGAAUGUUGAAGAAGAAGGGUAGGAAGCUUGAAGAUCAAGCACUAUCAAUACUCAUUUGCAAAUAUUUUUGGGCAUUUGUAGGUAUGGUAAUCGCAUUGGUUGUAAUGUUGAAAAUGUAUGAAAAGGCAUGA
rnacentral:rRNA from 1 species